AAUGCCACAAGUGGACUCUGAACACAAUGGAGAUAGACUGCUGUGAGACCUUACCAUCUUCCUAUAUAAACAAGUUAGAGAUGCAGAGGAGAUUCAAUAUGAAGGGCAAAGACUUAAAGCAGUUGCUGGAACGACUGAUGGAAGACGAAGAAUGAUAUCUUUCCCCAGAUGGUGGUAACGGCCCGGGACCUACUGCCUGAAAGGACGGUAAAGGCAAAAACCCUCACGCCAUUGGAAAUGUGCCCUGAUAUGUACUUGAGGGCCGCGACCUGCAGGACCACAGACGCAGUGCUGGAAGAACCAUGGGCUGUCUAUCAGAUUCAAUCAAAAGACCAGAGUCAUUUUGAGGCUUCAACCCCAUCACUGGAACUGAUGAGGAGCCUCCUAUAAACAGCUGUUGAAUUCCUCUUGGUCUUUGAGGUGGGAUCGCAGUCAAGAUUGUUUUUUCAGUAAGAUGAGCUAGGACAUGGACAAUGGACUCAAGUCUAAUGGAGAGAUUGCAUGCUGGCUCUGCUCGUAUACAAAUUAUGGAUUUGAAUUCAAUCUUCUGAAUAGGGUCUGAAUGCCACAAAGAAGGCCAGCAGUCUUUUUUGUCCCACAACUGAUUGUUCUUGCGAAGAUGGUGGCAAGCUGUCUUCUUAAACCACGGAAGGUGAAGAUGUUCCCCCUGCGCUAUUGGAGAGGGAAUUCCAGUUUGCCAACCCAGUGAUAGUGAAAGAUCAGCAAUAUAUGUCCAAGUAAAAAUGUGUGACUUAGAGAGCAAACGAACUGCAGAUGGUAAAGUCUCCAUGUACCUCCCACACUUGUACUUACUGAUAGCGGCAGUGGCUUUGGGAGAUGCUAUUAAAGUAGCUUAGCUGUCUAAAUUAUUAUUACCUGUGGUUAGUACUGCAGCUACUGGAGAGUGGUAAUGGAAAGAAUGAAGGUUUAGUGUGGUUGGUGGGCAUAGGUGGCCAUUGAAACAGGCUCUUCGCACAUUGACAUCAAUGUAGGCCAUUUUGCCCAUCUAUACUAUUCCCACCGGUCUCUAUUAAUUCCAUAACCCAAUAUUCAUUCAAGUACCUGUUCAAUGUUAAAAGUUGUUACUGUUCCUGUUUCCAAUACCUCCUCUGGCAGCUCAUUCUAAAUGCCAAUUGCAUAUUGUGUGAAAAUCUUUUUCUCAAAUCCCUUUAAACUUCCCUUCUCUCUCAUUAAACCUAAUUUUUGACAGUCCUACUUCCAUGCGAAACAGAUUCUGGCUAUCUGCCCUGCCUGUGGAAUACAUUGCCACAGGCCACUCUGGAGACCACGUUAUUUAGUAUAUUUAAGACAGAGAUUGAUGGAUUCUUGCUUAGUCGGGAUACGAAUGGAUACAGGAAGAAGGCAGGAGCCUGGAGCUGAAAGGAAAAUGGAUCAGCCAUGAUGAAAUGGUGGAGCAGACUUGAUGGGCCAAAUGGCCCAGUUCUGCUGCUAUGUCUUACGGUCUUACCACAACAAGAGAAAAUCUGCAGGUGCUAGACAUCCAAGCGAUACACGCAAAAUGCUGGAGAAACUCAGCAAGCCAGGCAGUAUCUGUGGAAAAUUCAGUCAAUAUUUCAGACUGAGGCCCUUCAUCAGGACCAGAGAAAAAAAGAUGAAGAGUCAGA